rnacentral:rRNA from 1 species
GAUGAACGCUGGCGGCGUGCCUAAUACAUGCAAGUCGAGCGAACAGAUGAGGAGCUUGCUCCUCUGACGUUAGCGGCGGACGGGUGAGUAACACGUGGAUAACCUACCUAUAAGACUGGGAUAACUUCGGGAAACCGGCUCUAAUACCGUAUAAUAUAUUGAACCGCAUGGUUCAAUAGUGAAAGACGGUUUUGCUGUCUCUUAUAGAUGGAUCCGCGCCGCAUUAGCUAGUUGGUAAGGUAACGGCUUACCAAGGCAACGAUGCGUAGCCGACCUGAGAGGGUGAUAGGCCACACGGGAACUGAGACACGGUCCAGAGUCCUACGGGAGGCAGCAGUAGGGAAUCUGACGCAAUGGGCGAAAGCCUGACGGAGCAACGCCGCGUGAGUGAUGAAGGUCUUGGGAUCGUAAAAAUCUGUUAUGAGGGAAGAACAAAUGUGUAAGUAACUAUGCACGUAUUGACGGUACCUAAUCAGAAAGCCACGGCUAACUACGUG